AUUGAACGCUGGCGGCAGGCCUAACACAUGCAAGUCGAGCGGAUGAAGGGAGCUUGCUCCUGGAUUCAGCGGCGGACGGGUGAGUAAUGCCUAGGAAUCUGCCUGGUAGUGGGGGAUAACGUCUGGAAACGGGCGCUAAUACCGCAUACGUCCUGAGGGAGCAAGUGGGGGAUCUUCGGACCUCACGCUAUCAGAUGAGCCUAGGUCGGAUUAGCUAGUUGGUGGGGUAAAGGCCUACCAAGGCGACGAUCCGUAACUGGUCUGAGAGGAUGAUUAGUCACACUGGAACUGGAACACGGACCAUGCUCCUACGGUAGGCAGCAGUGGGGAAUAUUGGACAAUGGGCGAAAGCCUGAUCCAGCCAUGCCGCGUGUGUGAAGAAGGUCUUCGGAGUGUAAAGCACUUUAAGUUGGGAUAAAGGGCAGUAAGUUAAUACCUUGCUGGUUUGACGUUACCAACAGAAUAAGCACCGGCUAACUUCGUG
rnacentral:rRNA from 1 species